ACAUCCCCAAAACAUCCCAAAAAUACAGCUGGGACCCAAAAACACCCCAAAAACACACCUGAGUCACCCCAAAACAUCCAAAAAACACCCCAAAAAUACACCUGAGUCACCCCAAAACAUCCAAAAACACCCCAAAAAUACACCUGAGUCACCCCAAAACCACCCCAAAACAUCCCAAAAUCACAGCUGGGACCCAAAAACACCCCAAAAACACAGCUGAGUCACCCUAAAACAUCCAGAAACACCCCAAAAACACACUUGAGUCACCCCAAAACACCCCAAAUACCCCAAAAACACACCUGAGUUACCCCAAAACCACCCGAAAACAUCCCAAAAACACAGCUGGGACCCAAAAACAUCCCCAAAACAUCCCAAAAAUACAACUGGGACCCAAAAACACCCCAAAAACACACCUGAGUCACCCCAGAACAUCCAAAAACAUCCCAAAAACACACCUGAGUCACCCCAAAACAUCCCCAAAAAAAUCCCAAAUCCCCCCAAAAAACCAAAAAAUACCCCCAAAAAUUCCCCAAAAAAUAAAAAAAAAACACCCCAAAAAAAUCCCCAAAAAACCCCAAAAAUCCCCAAAAAACCCCCAAAAAUCCCAAAAAACCCCCCCAAAAAUCCCAAAAAACCCCAAAAAAUCCCAAAUAAAUUCCCAAAAAAAUUCCAAAAAACCCCUGAAAAAACCCCAAAAAUUCCCAAAAAACCCCCCCAAAAAAUCCAAAAAAAUUCCAAAAAAAACCCCCAAAAAAUCCAAAAAAAAAUCCCAAAAAAUCCCCCAAAAAUCCCCCAAAAUACACCAAAAAAUCAAAAAAAAAUCCCAAAAAAUUCCCCAAAAAAUCCCAAAAAAUCCCAAAAAAUCCCAAAAAACCCCCAAAAAAACCCAAAAAAAUUCCCCAAAAAAUCCCCAAAAAUCCCCCAAAAAUUCCAAAAAUUCCAAAAAAAUCCCAAACACCCCCAAAUCCCCCCAAAUCCCCCCAAACCCCGGUACCUGUUUGUAGAGGCAGAGCAGGGCGCACACCAGGCUGAUGUCAGCCAGGCUCACCCUCCUGGAACACCCCAAAAACCCCAAAACCCCCCCCAAAAAAACCUCCAAAAACACAAAAAAAUCCCCAAAAAAACCCCCCAAAAAUACACCAAAAAAAUCCCAAAAAAACCCCAAAAAAUCACAAAAAAAUCCCAAAAAAUCCCAAAAAAACCCCAAAAAAUACACCAA
rnacentral:lncRNA from 1 species